UUUUUUUUUUCUUUUUUACACGCGGAAUUUCGUAUCUUUCACUAGAAACGUUCGUGUUUCGCCGAACACGUUGCUAUUAUAUUGGCCGGUAUUAUUGUUCUCGUGAAUAUUAAUCGUGUGGGCAAUAACACACACGUGAACGAUUGUCAUCGCGUUUUCAAAUAAGACGAGUUUCGUAUACGCGACGCACCCAUGGUGUGCGGAACGUCGCGUUACAGUCCAAUAUUUCCCGUGAACUAAUUAUCAUUUCAAAACAUAUAAAAAUACGAUUCACGCGAAAACCCGUCGAGACCUUGCGGCGUGGUCCUCGUGUGUUUCGGUAGAGUAGUGGACACUGUUCCGCUAUUGGUCGUUUAGGUGGCGGCAUCGUGGCGUUUGAACACCUCGUAGUGUGCCCGCGUAGAGAAAACCGUCCG